CCUCUGAUUCCCUCACGGCCACCUGCUACUCCAUCUCUUAAUCCCCACUAGAUCAAAGCCAGCCAGAAACCCUAACCCCCAAAUAUACUCUGAGAAAUUCCCCACCUUCUUCCAAGUUUCUGCCGGCGAACUCCUGUGUUUCCCGCAUCUGCGCCGCCAUCGCUCCAUUUAGCUCUCCCCUGGCCUUGGUUUGUUUUUGCUUGUCUCCUUACCGUGCACUACUACUCUUGCGCCACCAACCUACUCCGCUAGCUCCCAGGUCCUCUUGGCCUACACCAGCAGCAGCUCACCGCGCCACACCACUCCGGCUCCCGUCCGCACGUGCAUGCAGCAGCGCAAGCGAGCGCCUAUCGCUUCAGUCCUCCGCGCCAGCAUCAGCCGAGCCGCCCUACCGCACGCCCCAACUCCACCCGAUCAACUUCGUCUGUAUCUUGCACGGAGCCUGUUCGACAGUAUUCCUACAAGUGGUCGCUCUGUUUUUUUUGCUUCUCGCUGUUCAUGCUAUGAUCGAUCAGUGCAGCAUACAACUCCGCGCAUGCAUCCAAUCCAAAUCAAUUUCUGGAGCUUAGCUGAAGUGGUUACGUCCUGUGCCUUCAUUCAAUAUAUCCAUCGAUCAAAAUCCAGGGAAGGCAAAAGCAUUUGCUUCUUCACGGAUAGGAUCGCGAAGUGUUGCUGUGAGAUACGACAAGUUCUUCUGCAGCUUUUCACAGG